rnacentral:rRNA from 1 species
CCUACGGGUGGCUGCAGUGAGGAAUAUUGGUCAAUGGACGCAAGUCUGAACCAGCCAAGUAGCGUGCAGGAUGACGGCCCUCCGGGUUGUAAACUGCUUUUAGUUGGGAAUAAAAGGGGGCUCGCGAGCCCCGUAUUGUAUGUACCAUCAGAAAAAGGACCGGCUAAUUCCGUGCCAGCAGCCGCGGUAAUACGGAAGGUCCGGGCGUUAUCCGGAUUUAUUGGGUUUAAAGGGAGCGUAGAUGGGUUGUUAAGUCAGUUGUGAAAGUUUGCGGCUCAACCGUAAAAUUGCAAUUGAUACUGGCAGUCUUGAGUACAGUUGAGGUAGGCGGAAUUCGUGGUGUAGCGGUGAAAUGCUUAGAUAUCACGAAGAACUCCGAUUGCGAAGGCAGCUUACUAAACUGCCACUGACAUUGAUGCUCGAAAGUGUGGGUAUCAAACAGGAUUAGAUACCCUAGUAGUC